UUUUUUUUUGUCUGUCAAUCUUUGGUUGGGUUCAUGGGCCAAGCCCAAUAUUGCAGCCUUUUUAUUGUUGGGUUGUGGCCUUUUUGUCUAAACGAAUUUAGUUUUUCUUUUUUUUUCCAAAAGAAGGGUCCACUAGUCAGAUGGGUCCCAGUUGUCAUCAUCAGUUGGCUAUAGCCUUUUCAGGUGCAGUACACAGGAAUACAAUUUUGCACAUAUAUAUUGUUGAGAAAUUUUCAUAAUUUUGCUGUCAAAGCAGCAUGUACACAGGAAUACAAUUUUGCUAUCAAAGCAACAUUUCAAACGUACAUCUUCAUGACAUCGUACAUAAAAACCAGCAAUAAAAAGAUUACAAUAUGCCAUUUGGCUCAGAUCUUGCAUGUGCAGCAUCUCACAUUCAUGUACAGGAGAGGAGGAGGGGCUUGAGUUGUCCUGAAGGAUACACAUUGUAGGCUAUUAUUUUGGACAAUAAUGUAGAGGUAUUAUUUUGGACAAUAAGGUCCAAGACAACAUUGUAGGCUAUUAACAUAAAAUAAGUUAUUAUCAGGUUAAGCCUCCUUAGUUUAGUGAUCACCAUGAGAUAGAUAGCAGUACAUUUGUUAUACAGAGCAGCAACAAUGAAAAUAACAGAAAAUUAAAAUAUAAGUGUGGCAG
rnacentral:lncRNA from 1 species